GUCAGGACUCUGACUGGGCCACUCCAGAAGGUCAGGACUCUGACUGGGCCACUCCAGAAGGUCAGGACUCUGACUGGGCCACUCCAGAAGGUCAGGACUCUGACUGGGCCACUCCAGAAGGUCAGGGCUCUGACUGGGCCACUCCAGAAGGUCAGGACUGACUGGGCCACUUGUCUAUUAAAGUAUAUUUUGUUAAUAGACAAACACAGUCUGCUUAAACUAAUAACACGCAAACAAUUAGAAUUUGGAUGUUUUCAUUGAGCACACCGUGUAAACAUUCACAGUGCAGGUUGGGAAAAUGAUGUGAACCCUUGGAUUUAAUAACAAGUUGACCCUCCUUUGGCAGCAAUAACCUCAACCAAACGUUUUCUGUAGUUGCGGAUCAGACAUGCAAACAAGUGAAGAGGACUUUUUGACCAUUCCUCUUUACAAAAAUGUUUCAGUUUUACAAUAUUCUUGGGAUGUCUGGAGUGAACCACUCUCUUGCGGUCAUGCCACAGCAUCUCAAUGUGGUUGAGGUCAGGACUGACUGGGCCACUCCAGAAGGUCAGGACUGACUGGGCCACUCCAGAAGGUCAGGACUGACUGGGCCACUCCAGAAGGUCAGGACUGACUGGGCCACUCCAGAAGGUCAGGACUCUGACUGGGCCACUCCAGAAGGUCAGGACUCUGACUGGGCCACUCCAGAAGGUCAGGACUCUGACUGGGCCACUCCAGAAGGUCAGGACUGACUGGGCCACUCCAGAAGGUCAGGACUGACUGGGCCACUCCAGAAGGUCAGGACUCUGACUGGGCCACUCCAGAAGGUCAGGACUCUGACUGGGCCACUCCAGAAGGUCAGGACUCUGACUGGGCCACUCCAGAAGGUCAGGACUGACUGGGCCACUCCAGAAGGUCAGGACUGACUGGGCCACUCCAGAAGGUCAGGACUCUGACUGGUCCACCCCAGAAGGUCAGGACUCUGACUGGGCCACUCCAGAAGGUCAGGACUCUGACUGGGCCACUCCAGAAGGUCAGGACUCUGACUGGGCCACUCCAGAAGGUCAGGACUCUGACUGGACCACUCCAGAAGGUCAGGACUGACUGGGCCACUCCAGAAGGUCAGGACUCUGACUGGGCAACUCCAGAAGGUCAGGACUCUGACUGGGCCACUCCAGAAGGUCAGGACUGACUGGGCCACUCCAGAAGGUCAGGACUGACUGGGCCACUCCAGAAGGUCAGGACUCUGACUGGGCCACUCCAGAAGGUCAGGACUCUGACUGGGCCACUCCAGAAUGUCAGGACUCUGACUGGACCACUCCAGAAGGUCAGGACUGACUGGGCCACUCCAGAAGGUCAGGACUGACUGGGCCACUCCAGAAGGCGUAUUUUUUUCUGUUCAAGCCAUUCUGUUGUUGAUUUACCUUUGUAUUUUGGGUAGUUGUCCUGUUGCAUCACCGAACUUCUGUUGAGCUUCAAUUUGCCGACAGACUCAUUCUACUGCAAAAUGUCUUGAUAAACUUGGGAAUACAUUUUUCCGUCGAUGAUAGCAAGCUGUCUAGGCCCUGAGACAGCAUAGCAGUCCCAAACCAUGAUGCUCCCUCCACCAUACUUUACAGUUGGGAUGAGGUAAUUGAUGUUGGUGUGCUGUGCCUUUUUAUCUCCACACAUAGUGUUGUGUGUUCCUUCCAAACAACACAACUUUAGUUUAAUCCGUCCACAGAAUAUUUUGCCAGUAGCGCUGUGGAAUAUCCAGGUGCUCUUUUGAAAACAUCAGACGUGCAGAAAUAUUUUUUGGGGACAGCAGUGGCUUCUUCCAUGGUGUCCUCCCAUGAACACCAUUCUUGUUUAGUGUUUUACGUAUUUUAGACUCGUCAACAGAGAUGUUAGCGUCUUCCAGAGAUUUCUGUAAGUCUUUAGCUGACACUCUAGGAUUCUUCUUAACCUCAUUGAGCAUUCUGCGCUGUGUACUUGCAGUCAUCUUUGCAGGACGGCCACUCUUAGGGAGAGUAGCAAUAGUGCUGAAAUUUCUCAAUUUAUAGACAAUUUGUCUUACUAUGGACUGACUUUUAGAGAUACUUUUGCAACCCUUUCCAGCUUCUGACAUUUUUUGUUCAAGGCAUGGUUCACAUCAGGCAAUGCUUCUUGUGAAUAGCAAACUCAAAUUUUGUGAGUGUUUUUUAUGGGGCAGGGCAGCCCAAAUGAAUAUCUCCAAUCUCGUCUCAUUGACUCGACUCCAGGUUAGUUGACUGCUGACUACAAUUAGUUUUUGGAGAAGUCAUUAGCCUAGGGGUUCACAUACUUUUUCCAACCUACACUGUGAAUGUUUAAAUGAUGUAUUCAAUAUGGACGAGACAAAUACAAAAAUGUGUGUGUUAGAGUGUUGGACUAGUAACCAGAAGGUUGCAAGUUCAAAUCGCUGAGCUGACAAGGUACAAAUCUGUCGUUCUGCCCCUGAACAGGCAGUUAACCCACUGUUCCUAGGCCGUCAUUGAAAAUAAGAAUUUGUUCUUAACUGACUUGCCUAGUAAAAUAAAGGAAAACAAUAAAUAAAAUAAGCACACUGUGUUUGUCUAUUGUUGUGACUUAGAUGAAGAUCAGAUCAAAUUUUAUGUUACAUUUAUGCAGAAAUCCAGGUAUUUCCAAAGGGAUCACCUACUUUUUCUUGCCACUAUAUAUAAAAUGGAUGUAUUCGUUAGCAACGAGUGGAGGACAGAGGAGCCUCUUAAAGAAGAAGUUAUGGGUCUGUGAGAGCCAGAAAUCUUGCUUGUUUGUAGGUGACCAAAUACUUAUUUUCCACCAUAAUUUGC
ensembl:lncRNA